CAUCUGGUUGUGUACUUCGCUUGGAAGGAGAAACGGCCAGAUGUGUGAUUAUAUACUGAUUAUAUACUGAUUCGUGGGCUGUAACCACUGGUCGGGCUGGAUGAAACUUGGAAGGAACAUAAUUGGAAAAUUGGUGAUAACAAAAUUGGAGGAAGAGGUAUGUGAAUAGACUUCUCUGAAUGGGCAAAGAAAAUGUAAAGAUAUUUGUGUCUCGUGUGAAUGCUCACUAAAGGGUAACCCCAGCAGGAUAGGAUUUUAACAAUCAAGAUAGGAUGACUCAUUCUGUGGAUACCAGCCAGCUUCUUUCCUCAGCCACUCCUGUCAUCACCCAAUGGGCUCAUGAAGAAAGUGGCCAUGUUGGUUGCGAUGGAAGCUAUGCAUGGGCUCAGCCACACAGACUUCCACUGACCAAGGUGGAUCUGGUUACAGCCACCAUUGAGUGCUCAAUCUGCCAGCAGCUGAGACUCUGAUAUGGUACAAUUUCCCAGCAUGAUCAGCCAGAUACCUGGUGGCAGGCUGAUUACAUUGAACUGCUUAUAUACCAUGGAAAGGACAGCAUUGUGUCCUUAUUAAAAUAAACAGUCUGGAUACAGAUUUUUCCUUCCCUGCAUGCAAUGCUUCUGUGAACACUACCAUCCCUGGACUUACAGAAUAACUUAUCAUCAUGGUAUUCUUCAUAUCAUUGCUUUUGACCAAAGAACUCACUUCAAAGCCAAAGAAGGGCAGCAAUAGCACUUGUGCUCAUAGGAUUCACUGAUCUUGCUGGAGUAGCUGGCUUUGUAGAACAGUGGAAUGGCCUUUUGAAGACUCCAUGCCAGCUAGGUGGCAAUACCUUGUAGGGCUGGGGGAAGGUUCUCCAAAAGUCUGGGUAUGCUCUGAAUCAGUCUCCAAUAUAUGGUGCUGUUUCUCCAAUAGCUAAGAUACAUGAGUCCGGGAAUCAAAGGAUGGAAAAGGAAAUGACACCGCUUACUAUUACCCCUAAUGGUCCACUAGCAAAACGUUUGCUUCCUGUUCCCAUGACUUUAUCCUCUGCUGGCCUAGAGAUCUUAGUUCUAGAGAGAGGAAUGCUUCUACCAGGAGACACAACAAUUCUAUUGAACUAAAACUUAAGACUGCCACGCAGCAACUUUGGGCUUCUCAUGCCUCUGAGUCAACAGGCCAAGAAGGGAGUUACAGUGCUGCCUGGGGUGAUUACUCUGGGAUACCAAGGAAAAAUUGACUACCACUGCACAAUGGAGGUAAAGAAGAGUAUGUCUGGAAUACAGAAUAGCUGAGAUCAACCUUGAUUGCCUUUUAAGUCGAGUAAAUUGGAGGACAGGCUGCCCAGUAUCUUAGUUCUUCUAAGACUGCUUGCAACCCAGAAAGUGUGAACAGUGUGAUGACGAAUGCUCUUAAGACCAGGAGUUCAAGCUUAACUCCCAACCCCUUGAGUGUGGGCUAGACUUAGUGACCUGCUUCUAAGGAAUAGAGUAUGGAAAGAGGAAAAUAGCAACAUUACAGGAGAGAAACCUGAAAGCAACUUAACCAAGUGAUCACAGAAUCACUGGUAAUAACUCUUGUUGAUAUCAUGUGCCCCCAAUACAGUAUGAUGAAAAGACCCAUCAUCUCUGUGAUAUUUAUCCUCAAAAUCUAUACUCUUACAACAAUUAUGAGAAAAUAUAGACAAACCCAAUUUGAAAGGAAGCAAGUCUACAAGAUACUUAACCAGUACUUUACAAAAGUGACAAGGUCACAAAAGACAGCACAAGACUGAGAAACUCACAGAUUGGAGGAAGCCAAAGAGACAUCAUGGCUGAGAUCAUGAUGGUGGAACCCUGGUUUGGAUCCUGGAACAGAAAAAAAGAACACUAAGUGGAAAAACUGAU
rnacentral:lncRNA from 1 species